CUCAGUAGUUGUUUAAGUGAUGGGGGAGUACGGAAGCAUCUCCUCCACCUCCCAGGAACAGAAAGGCAGUCGCGGUUGAUCCUCGAGUGUAUGAGGUGUGGCGACCUUCUCCUGACCCCGAUCUGGUGGUGUUGACAAGUGUAUGAGACUGGGAAUCACCAAUGAACUUACUCUUUAUUUUUUAUUCUUAAAGUGUGAAGAAGUUCGGAGACAAAAAAAUAAUAACUGAAAAAAGAAAAAUAGGUAAACGAGAAGAAAAGUUAUACAUAAACUUGCUCCUUAGAAAAAAAAGAGAAAAUAAAAAGAAAAGUGAAUAAAAAAGAAAAGGUUUUCUAAUCGUGCUGAUCAACUUUGGUAGUGUUGGAGGUGUGUUGAUACUCUUGUGAAUUAUUCCAAGUGAGCCUCCGCCGCGACACUCCCCACGUCUUCCACCCCUCGCGGCGACAGGGGGAAAAAAAGGUAACUACGCGGUGCAGCGAUGCCCCUACACCACCAGCAGGAGCAGUCGUGGCCAGGAAUCGGAUAACGUCCUGCCCUCACAUACAUUGCCUUGCGUUUUCCUCAGUCUCAAAUUCUCUGACCUGCUUAUUGUUGCCUAAAAAUCCGAUAAUUUGUGAUUUUAGCAUACUGGAGGACUUAAGAUUGAGAUAAAACGAUGAAGGCGGUGAAAGUGAAUGCAGCAGAAGUGAAAAGAAGAAAAAAGACAGUGAAAGUGAAUGCAGAGGAACAGAGAAAACGAUAAAGACAGUGAAAGUAAAUGCAGAAGAGAGAAAACGAAAAAGACCGUGAAAGUGAGUGCACAGGGAGAGAGAAAACGAUGAAGACAGUGAAAGUGAAUGCAGAAGAAGACUGUUACUUAAAAAUCCGAUAAUUCAAAGGUCUUUUAGCCGACUGGAUAAUUUAAGGCUGAAGAAAAACGAUAAAGACAAAGUAGGUACAGAAUGUUACUCUACUGAUAAUCAAAACCGUAUCUUGCAAAAUAGAUAAGUACAAAAAAUCGUGAGUAAAGGCUAUUCUACUUAUGGUAAAAAAAACAAAACAAACAAACAAACAAACUUACCUUAUAAAUGAAUAAGAGGCCACUUUCACUGCGAUAUGCAACGAUUCACAACACUAAAAAUAAUGUCUGAAAUCUUUAUAAACACCUAGAAGAGAGAGAGAGAGAGAGAGAGAGAGAGAGAGAGAGAGAGAGAGAGAGAGAGAGAGAGAGAGAGAGAGAGAGAAAAAAAAAAAAGAAUAUGUUUUGCAGUUUCUAACCAGUAUAAUAUUUGGAGGUAGUUGUAGAACGAGUAGAAAUAUUCCAGAGUAGUUAGUGAAUACUGGUAAAUGUACGAAUUAAUAGUGAAUGUGUUAAUGGAAAUGCCAAGAAAGUUUACCGCACGUGUUGCAACAAGGAGGGAACACGUGGGCCAAUCAACAGGCGGGAAUGUUGCCAGUGACAGUGUUAACAUGCUCGCGUGUCCUCAGCUGGCUGGAAUUAUUGUGGCAGGGCCCGUGACAAGGAUUAUAGUACCGGUGUGGCGUCGGCUGUGUUAAUGGCUGGGUUUUGUGUGGUGUCGUGAUAGUUUUAUGGCGUGUAUGUGUGUGUGUGUGUGAGGGAGAGAGAGGUAGAAGUGUGUGUGUGUGUGUGUGUGUGUGUGUGU